rnacentral:rRNA from 1 species
GACGAACGCUGGCGGCGUGCUUAACACAUGCAAGUCGAACGAUGAAGCUGGAGCUUGCUCUGGCGGAUUAGUGGCGAACGGGUGAGUAACACGUGAGAAAUCUGCCCUUGACUCUGGGAUAACUGCGGGAAACUGUAGCUAAUACCGGAUACUUUCCCUGGUGGGCAUCCACUGGGGAAGAAAGAAUUUCGGUCAAGGAUGAUCUCGCGGCCUAUCAGCUUGCUGGUGAGGUAAUGGCUCACCAAGGCGACGACGGGUAGCCGGCCUGAGAGGGUGACCGGCCACACUGGGACUGAGACACGGCCCAGACUCAGACGGGAGGCAGAAGUGGGGAAUAUUGCACAAUGGGCGCAAGCCUGAUGCAGCAACGCCGCGUGAGGGAUGAAGGCCUUCGGGUUGUAAACCUCUUUUAGCAGGGAAGAAGCGAAAGUGACGGUACCUGCAGAAAAAGCACCGGCUAACUACGUGCCAGCCGCCGCCGUAA